UACAGAGGUCUCAAGCGUUGUUCGGAUUCAUUGGGCGUAAAGGGUGCGUAGGCGGCGCGGUAAGUCGGGUGUGAAAUCUCGGAGCUUAACUCCGAAACUGCAUUCGAUACUGCCGUGCUUGAGGACUGGAGAGGAGAUUGGAAUUUACGGUGUAGCAGUGAAAUGCGUAGAUAUCGUAAGGAAGACCAGUGGCGAAGGCGAAUCUCUGGACAAUUACUGACGCUGAGGCACGAAGGCCAGGGGAGCAAACGGG
rnacentral:rRNA from 1 species